rnacentral:misc_RNA from 1 species
GGACUCUUUCUCAACCAACUCCAGGUGUCGCAUAUGAAUCUUCCAAUGCUCCUACUGGAGCUAAUGAGAAUCAAAGUGGUGGAGAGGAUGGUGGUGCUACUGGUUGGUUCUCCUCUGCUUUGUGGGAAUUUUUGGAGUCAAUACCUACUACUCCUGCAUCAGCUGCCGAGACUCCUUUGGUGAAUAAGGCUUUUGAGCGAAUGUCUAGCUUCAGCAGGG